GCGGUCCAACCGGGGGACGAAACUCCAUAGCUCACACACUGGAACAUCCAACGCCAUGUGUAGCUCCAAUACUAAGUCCUACGCACGCAGACUGGAUCAUCACACACCGGAACAUCCAACGCCAUGUGUGAUGAUCCCAAGCAAUAUAUCGAGUCUUCCCAUACGCCGGAACAUCCAAUGCCGCGUAUGGAAAAUAUCUCACAUGCCGGAACAUCCAACGUCACGUGUGAGACUGAUAACCUAUUCUUCCCACACGCCGGAACAUCCAACGCCACGUGUGAGAAGUCUAAUAACUGGGGAAGGUACUUACAUAGUGUAAUCAUACAACUUCUCUCAAUAACCCCUCAUAUUCAAGUUCUUCCACAACUCACCUCAACAAUCCAAGUAUCCCACCUAUAGACAAUAUAUAUAUAUAUAACUUCCCC
rnacentral:lncRNA from 1 species